CAACAGGGAUUGCCCUAGUAACGGCGAGUGAAGCGGCAACAGCUCAAAUUUGAAAUCUGGCUCUUUCAGGGUCCGAGUUGUAAUUUGCAGAGGGCGCUUUGGCUUUGGCAGCGGUCCAAGUUCCUUGGAACAGGACGUCACAGAGGGUGAGAAUCCCGUACGUGGUCGCUAGCUAUUGCCGUGUAAAGCCCCUUCGACGAGUCGAGUUGUUUGGGAAUGCAGCUCUAAAUGGGAGGUAAAUUUCUUCUAAAGCUAAAUAUUGGCCAGAGACCGAUAGCGCACAAGUAGAGUGAUCGAAAGAUGAAAAGCACUUUGGAAAGAGAGUCAAACAGCACGUGAAAUUGUUGAAAGGGAAGCGCUUGCAGCCAGACUUGCUUGCAGUUGCUCAUCCGGGCUUUUGCCCGGUGCACUCUUCUGCAGGCAGGCCAGCAUCAGUUUGGGCGGUGGGAUAAAGGUCUCUGUCACGUACCUCUCUUCGGGGAGGCCUUAUAGGGGAGACGACAUACCACCAGCCUGGACUGAGGUCCGCGCAUCUGCUAGGAUGCUGGCGUAAUGGCUGUAAGCGGCCCGUCUUGAAACACGGACCAAGGAGUCUAACAUCUAUGCGAGUGUUUGGGUGUCAAGCCCGAGCGCGUAAUGAAAGUGAACGGAGGUGGGAACCCGCAAGGGCGCACCAUCGACCGAUCCUGAAGUUUACGGAAGGAUUUGAGUAAGAGCAUGGCUGUUGGGACCCGAAAGAUGGUGAACUAUGCUUGAAUAGGGUGAAGCCAGAGGAAACUCUGGUGGAGGCUCGCAGCGGUUCUGACGUGCAAAUCGAUCGUCAAAUUUGGGCAUAGGGGCGAAAGACUAAUCGAACU
rnacentral:rRNA from 1 species